AGAGUUUGAUCCUGGCUCAGGAUGAACGCUAGCGAUAGGCUUAACACAUGCAAGUCGAGGGGCAGCACGGUGUAGCAAUACACUGGUGGCGACCGGCGUACGGGUGCGUAACACGUAUGCAACCUACCCGCUAUUGGGGGAUAACCCGGCGAAAGUCGGACUAAUACCCCAUAUUAUUCUUACCGGGCAUCCGGUAGGUCUGAAAGAUUUUAUCGAUUGCGGAUGGGCAUGCGGAUGAUUAGCUAGUAGGUGGGGUAACGGCUCACCUAGGCGACGAUCAUUAGGGGUUCUGAGAGGAAGGUCCCCCACACUGGAACUGAGACACGGUCCAGACUCCUACGGGAGGCAGCAGUGAGGAAUAUUGGUCAAUGGGCGCUAGCCUGAACCAGCCAAUGCCGCGUGCAGGAUGACGGCCCUACGGGUUGUAAACUGCUUUUCCCCGGGAAGAAUAAGCCCCUCGUGAGGGGUGAUGCCGGUACCGGGGGAAUAAGGAUCGGCUAACUCCGUGCCAGCCGCGGC
rnacentral:rRNA from 1 species